rnacentral:rRNA from 1 species
CGCGCCUAACACAUGCAAGUCGAACGGAGCUUAAAGAGCUUGCUUUUUAAGCUUAGUGGCGAACGGGUGAGUAACGCGUGAGUAACCUGCCCUGGAGUGGGGGACAACAGUUGGAAACGACUGCUAAUACCGCAUAAGCCCACGGAUUCGCAUGGAUCUGCGGGAAAAGGAUUUAUUCGCUCUAGGAUGGACUCGCGUCCAAUUAGCUAGUUGGUGAGGUAACGGCCCACCAAGGCGACGAUUGGUAGCCGGACUGAGAGGUUGAACGGCCACAUUGGGACUGAGACACGGCCCAGACUCCUACGGGAGGCAGCAGUGGGGGAUAUUGCACAAUGGGGGAAACCCUGAUGCAGCGACGCCGCGUGGAGGAAGAAGGUUUUCGGAUUGUAAACUCCUGUCGUUAGGGACGAUAAUGACGGUACCUAACAAGAAAGCACCGGCUAACUACGUGCCAGCAGCCGCGGUAAAACGUAGGGUGCAAGCGUUGUCCGGAAUUACUGGGUGUAAAGGGAGCGCAGGCGGACCGGCAAGUUGGAAGUGAAAACUAUGGGCUCAACCCAUAAAUUGCUUUCAAAACUGCUGGCCUUGAGUAGUGCAGAGGUAGGUGGAAUUCCCGGUGUAGCGGUGGAAUGCGUAGAUAUCGGGAGGAACACCAGUGGCGAAGGCGACCUACUGGGCACCAACUGACGCUGAGGCUCGAAAGCAUGGGUAGCAAACAGGAUUAGAUACCCUGGUAGUCCAUGCCGUAAACGAUGAUUACUAGGUGUUGGAGGAUUGACCCCUUCAGU